rnacentral:lncRNA from 1 species
AAUCCUUUUUUGCCUUCUUCGUCUACUUUUGGCAAUAUUUUCUACUUUCGACCUGUAAAGAGAGGUUCAGAUGAUUUUGUGCUCCUAGUGCGAAUCUUGCACUGCAUACACUAGAAAACAAAACACUAGAGCACCCAAAUAGCCCAAAAAAUAAAAAUAAAAAAAUAAAAAACAAUAAAAAUAAAGUCUAAACUGGUUAAGAAUCACAUAAAAGUAUAGUAUAAACCACGAGUCCCUGGCAACGGUGCCAAAAACUUGUUUAACGGUUGGCAAGUGUACCAAAUC